UUAUCCGGAUUCACUGGGUUUAAAGGGUGCGCAGGCGGGUAAGUACGUCCGUUGUGAAAUCUCUGAGCUUAACUCAGAAACUGCCGUGGAUACUAUUUGCCUUGAAUAUUGUGGAGGUGAGCGGAAUAUGUCAUGUAGCGGUGAAAUGCUUAGAUAUGACAUAGAACACCAAUUGCGAAGGCAGCUCACUACACAAUGAUUGACGCUGAGGCACGAAAGCGUGGGGAUCAAACAGG
rnacentral:rRNA from 1 species